rnacentral:tRNA from 1 species
GACAUAGCUCAGUUGGGAAGUUCUUUGACUAUUAUUCUAAAGGCCGUGGGUUCAAUUCUCGGUAGGUUCU